UACGAAGGGGGCUAGCGUUGCUCGGAAUUAUUGGGCGUAAAGGGCUCGUAGGCGGUCUGUCGCGUCGGGAGUGAAAACUCAGGGCUUAACCCUGAGCCUGCUUCCGAUACGGGCAGACUAGAGGUAUGCAGGGGAGAACGGAAUUCCUGGUGUAGCGGUGGAAUGCGCAGAUAUCAGGAGGAACACCGGUGGCGAAGGCGGUUCUCUGGGCAUUACCUGACGCUGAGGAGCGAAAGUGUGGGGAGCGAACAGG
rnacentral:rRNA from 1 species